GACUCUGCUGCUCCAUGAAAUUUUAGGACUUAUUGCUAUUGUUGAAUCAGGUGACUAAUUUCAGGGAUCUAAAAAGGCCUUAUGAUCCAUCAUCUUUUCCUUCAUCUGCCCACAAUCCCCCAGCAUUGGCCAACAUGGCAAACUCCCAUCUGAGUACCUUGGAACUUAAUCAGUGUGGGGCAGAGAACCUGGAACGGAUAGGCUGUCCGGGGACAGUGACAGGACGGCUGAGGGGAGAGAAAGGAGACAGGCCAGCUGUUUCCUGACGCCCUUGCUCAGUACAAGCACUGAACCUGAGAUCUCGGUAGGUUUGUAUGGAUCUGCAGAGAUCGCCCUAGGUUGGGUUGCUAUGGGAGCAGGUCUUUAACUGGAGGAGUUCUGAGAACGUUUUACCCUCUCUGGAACCAUGAGGAAAUUCUGGAGGGCAGACACGUUCUGUCUCUAGCUUAGCUCUCACUCCUUAAGGUGGGUCUGCCACCGCUGAGGUGCCCCCUUGGGUGGUCUGUGAGACUCCUGCAACAGCUCUGCACGACUUCUGGGGUCCACAGUCCAGGACAGAUGUGAAGUUUUGGCAUCAACAUAUUCUUGGGAGGCUGCGUCGUCCUAUCACAGUGAAGAAAGAAUUAUUUCAAUCAACAUCGUCAUCCCAAGUAGGAGACCAGAGUCUGUAAUCUCAGAGAGGCUGAGAUGCUGCCCUCCAGUGUGAUGUUUGUCUUCUCCUGAGGAAGUGGAUGCCAUGUGUCACUUUGCAGAUGGAUCAAGUGCAGGAGGUAUCCAGUUUCCAGGCAGGUUGCAUGGGAGAGAGGCAGGUGUGUGUGUGCAUGCAGAGGAAAGAGAACAAAGCCCGAGGGAUCCAACUUCCAGGAAAUCUCUGUUGCGCUGGUGCAAAGGAAAAAUAACCCCUGCUCUCCUCUCAACUUAAAAAAAUUUUCUGUUUGGUUUUGGUUUACAGAAGUCUAAAUAUUAAGCAGUUUCGUGGUGAUAAUGAUGCAGCCACAUUUUAGAUAAAUUCUUUGAACUUUUUAAAGCCCUUUGUGUUUUCCUAAUAGUUACUCAUAGAAGGGCUGGGAUAGGAAAAAUGCAGGCAGGCCAGCGCCUGCUCCUGAAUGCCCGUUUGAGCAAUCGUAUACCCUACAAAUUCAGCUCGUCACUUUUUUUUCCUGGUGGUGGCAGCAAGAAGUUGGACGGGUUUCUGGGUACAUCUCGUCCUGUG
rnacentral:lncRNA from 1 species